rnacentral:rRNA from 1 species
AGCCAGACUCCUACGGGAGGCAGCAGUCGGGAAUAUUGCGCAAUGGAGGAAACUCUGACGCAGUGACGCCGCGUAUAGGACGAAGGUCUUCGGAUUGUAAACUAUUGUCGCUAGGGAAGAGAAAGGACAGUACCUAAGGAGGAAGCUCCGGCUAACUACGUGCCAGCAGCCGCGGUAAUACGUAGGGAGCAAGCGUUAUCCGGAUUCACUGGGCGUAAAGGGAGCGUAGACGGCGACGCAAGUCUGGAGUGAAAGCCCGGGGCCCAACCCCGGGACUGCUCUGGAAACUGCGGCGCUGGAGUACGGGAGGGGCAGGCGGAAUUCCUGGUGUAGCGGUGAAAUGCGUAGAUAUCAGGAGGAACACCGGCGGCGAAGGCGGCCUGCUGGACCGUAACUGACGUUGAGGCUCGAAAGCGUGGGGAGCAAACAGGAUUAGAUACCCGUGUAU